ACAUUGGUGUGCACGAACUAUUUUUAGAGUGUAUUGAUUGACCUGUGAACUUGAUGACGUUUUCAGAAACUAUAGUCAGUUUCAAAUUAGUCCUUGGCUGAAACAGCUGAUUUUGACAGGAGCAGAUAAUUUGUUAUUAAGAAUGGCUGCUAAAGAAGUAAAAGAAAAGAACUCAGUUGUAGGAGCAAAAUCGAUCCAUUGUUUAAAGUGCAAAAAGAAGACAAAAAGCUUACAAAUGUCUAUCAUGAGGAAUCCUGCAACCAAAAGAAGGAGAGUUAAAGCCGUCUGUGCAGUUUGCAGUACAAAAAAAUCAAUGUUCGUCAAUAAAAGUUUCAAAUGAAGAUGACGAUGAUAGAAUAGAAAGAAGGACAUAUUUAUUUUUUCAAUUAUAUUUAGAUAUUUAUUUACCCUUUUAAUUAAAAACUGUUGUUUUUUUUAAA